rnacentral:rRNA from 1 species
AUUGAACGCUGGCGGCAUGCCUUACACAUGCAAGUCGAACGGCAGCGCGGACUUCGGUCUGGCGGCGAGUGGCGAACGGGUGAGUAAUGUAUCGGAACGUACCAUUCAGUGGGGGAUAACGCAGCGAAAGUUGCGCUAAUACCGCAUAUUCUGUGCGCAGGAAAGCAGGGGAUCGGCAGACCUUGCGCUGAUUGAGAGGCCGAUAUCAGAUUAGCUAGUUGGUGAGGUAAAGGCGCACCAAGGCGACGAUCUGUAGCGGGUCUGAGAGGAUGGUCCGCCACACUGGAACUGAGACACGGUCCAGACUCCUACGGGAGGCAGCAGUGGGGAAUUUUGGACAAUGGGCGCAAGCCUGAUCCAGCCAUGCCGCGUGAGUGAAGAAGGCCUUCGGGUUGUAAAGCUCUUUCGGCCGGGAAGAAAUCGUAUGGGUUAAUACCCUGUGCGGAUGACGGUACCGGCAUAAGAAGCACCGGCUAACUACGUGCCAGCCGCCGCGGUAAGAC